rnacentral:rRNA from 1 species
GUAGGUGGCAAGCGUUGUCCGGAAUUAUUGGGCGUAAAGCGCGCGCAGGUGGUUCUUUAAGUCUGAUGUGAAAGCCCCCGGCUCAACCGGGGAGGGUCAUUGGAAACUGGGGAACUUGAGUGCAGGAGAGGAAAGUGGAAUUCCACGUGUAGCGGUGAAAUGCGUAGAUAUGUGGAGGAACACCAGUGGCGAAGGCGACUUUCUGGCCUGUAACUGACACUGAGGCGCGAAAGCGUGGGGAGCAAACAGGAUUAGAUACCCUGGUAGUCCACGCCGCAAACGAUGAGUGCUAAGUGUUGGGGGGGUUUCCCGCCCCGUCAGUGCUGCAGCUAACGCAUUAAGCACUCCGCCUGGGGAGUACGGUCGCAAGACUG